UGGGGAAUUUUGCACAAUGGGGGAAACCCUGAUGCAGCGACGCCGCUUGUUUUAGAAGGCCUUCGGGUUGUAAAAAUCUUUUCUUUGGGAAGAAAAUGACAGUACCAUAGGAAUAAGGACCGGCUAAUUACGCGCCAGCAGCCGCGGUAAUACGUAAGGUCCGACCGUUGUCCGGAAUCAUUGGUCGUAAAGGGUACGUAGGCGGGUAAGCAAGUUAGAAGUGAAAUCCUGUAGCUCAACUACAGUAAUCUUUUAAAACUGCUCAUCUUGAGGUAUGGAAGGGAAAGUGGAAUUCCUGGUGUAGCGGUGAAAUGCGCAGAUAUUAGGAGGAAUACCGGUGGCGAGGGCGACUUUCUGGCCAUAACCUGACGCUGAGGUACGAAAGCGUGGGUAGCAAACAGG
rnacentral:rRNA from 1 species